CAGCUAAGAGAGCAUCCAACACUUUAUCACAGCUUUUAAAUUCUACAUUAAAGUCCCUCUCUGAUGCAAAGUCUAACAACUUAACAGCAGCAAUGGUCUUGCCUUUCUCACUAAGAACAGACAGAAGAUCAUCAAAAUUUACAUGACACCCACUAUGCAUUAGUAGCUCAAUUCGUCCAAGGGCUUCCUCAACAUGACCUCUCAUGAGGAGAGCUUCCAAAAUCUUAGCUACCAAGUCAAUAUUCUCCUUCACCCCCUUCUCCACCAUACUCUUCAUAACACGGCUAGCAGUUUGAACCCUCCCAUCUUCAAACAGACUCUCCAUCACUGACCUAAAUACUGAUGAAUCUGGGACAUGCCCUUCUUCAAUCAUAGCAUCCAAAGCUGUUUUGGCAUCAGCUGGCUCACCUUUCCUAAGGUAGCUUUCAAUAAGCAACUUGUAUGCAUCUGCAUCUCGAGGGACCCCUCUCCUAGCCAUGAUCUUUAUAAUUUCAAAAGCAGAAUCAGGAGACCCUUCUUUUGAAUGCCCACGGAUCAAAUUAUUAAAGGCAUUUGGGUCCUGAACACCUUUUUUCAUCAACUGCCGGAAAAAGAUUUCUGCCUUUCCUGUUUGCCCAUGACCGCACAGAUACUGAAUCAUAGAGUUAUAAGCACCAGACCCCAUUUCCAAAGUAUUCCGGGGCCUCAAAAUAAUUUCCUUCUCAAUUAACUUAUCCAACAAC
rnacentral:misc_RNA from 1 species